rnacentral:rRNA from 1 species
UACGGAGGGUGCGAGCGUUGUCCGGAAUCAUUGGGCGUAAAGGGCGCGUAGGUGGCCACUUCAAGCGUGCGGUGAAAGUCGGGGGCUCAACCCCUGAUCGGCCGUGCGAACUGGGGGGCUGGAGCACUGUAGAGGCGAGGCGGAAGUUCCGGGUGUAGCGGUGGAAUGCGUAGAGAGUCCGGAAGAACGACCGGUGGCGAAGGCGGCCUGCUGGGCAGUUUUGCUGACACUGAGGCGCGGACAGCGUGGGGAGCAACAGG